rnacentral:rRNA from 1 species
UACGUAGGGUGCGAGCGUUGUCCGGAAUCACUGGGCUUAAAGCGUGUGUAGGUGGAUCGUUAAGUACCUUGUGAAAUCCCACGGCUUAACCGUGGAACUGCUUGGUAUACUGGCGGUCUUGAGCCACUUAGGGGCUACCGGAACAAGUGGUGGAGCGGUGAAAUGCGUAGAUAUCAUUUGGAACGCCAAUGGUGAAAACAGGUAGCUGGGAGUGUGCUGACACUGAGACACGAAAGCCAGGGGAGCAAACGGG